UGGUGGAGUGAUUUGUCUGGUUAAUUCCGUUAACGAACGAGACCGCCGCCUGCUAAAUAGUUCUACCAAUGGUUUUUCAUUGGUAAGAGCUUCUUAGAGGGACGUUCACUCUACAAGAUGAAGGAAGAUGGCGGCAAUAACA
rnacentral:rRNA from 1 species